rnacentral:rRNA from 1 species
GACGUAGGGUCCAAGCGUUGUCCGGAUUUACUGGGCGUAAAGAGCGCGUAGGCGGCUCGUUAAGUGUGAAGUGAAAUCUCUAGGGCUCAACCCAGAAACUGCUUUACAUACUGGCGAGCUGGAGUGAUGCAGAGGUUUGUGGAAUUCCUGGUGUAACGGUGAAAUGUGUUGAUAUCAGGAGGAACACCCAUGGCGAAGGCAGCAACUGGCAUCAACUGACGCGUGAGGCG